rnacentral:lncRNA from 1 species
UUUGGUUAAAUCAUUAGCCGUCAGGCGCGAGCCGUCUGUGUAAGCCUUCGACUAUGCGUUUCUCGGGCCAUCGCGUCAUCUUACGAAAACUAGAGCUGCCGGUACAAAUGGCCUGAACAGUCUUGCCUAUGGCAUGCCUGACACACUGUAGGACGUCAGUAAGCAGUACACCCAUCACAAUGCGCAGUCUAUAUGAAAGAACGGAGACAACUAACAAAUGUAAGGCGAUUUAACGCAGGCGCGGUAGUUGAGCCUAGAAGAGAACUUCAGGUAGUGGAGCCUAGAAGAGACGGGCUGAAGUUCUCUUCAGCCCGUCGCCGCCCGCUGGCCAUUUUCAUUGUUAAAGGCUCCACACUUUUCGAUAGUAGCUGCAGUCCGUAAGCAUAUAAUUUUGCAGCAUCAUGAAUGGUUCCGGCGAAGAGGAUGGCGAAACUUGGUCAAGUAUGGCUUUCGUUCUUCUUUGCAUUGCAGUACUCACUUAGCAUCAGAGUUCCUGUCAGGUAUGUGUGGGCGGUGCAAGGUGCGAGCUCCUGACUGCAUGAACAUUCGCAACAGGCACUAGAGGGCUUUUGUGCAAAGCAUUAAAGGAGAGAAUUAGAUAAAAAAAUAUAAAUCUUUGUUCUAUUCAGCAGAGGCAAUAUCCUAUGAUAUUUUUUUCGAAACAUGGCUUAUGAUAAUGUUGUUACAAAUAGAGAUUUUGCUAAGUUCUCUCUCCCCUGCUCCGCUGCCGUCCCGACGUCGCCUGCCUGCGUCAGGCAUAGGUGAUGAAAAGUUUUUCUGACGUGCCUACCUGCCUGCCUGCGAUGACAAUUUGUAAUAACGGC